rnacentral:rRNA from 1 species
CCGUAGGUGAACCUGCGGAAGGAUCAUUACCGAGUGUAGGGUUCCUAGCGAGCCCAACCUCCCACCCGUGUCUCUUGCGUACUUUGUUGCUUUGGCGGGCCCACUGGGUCACUCCGGUCGCCGGGGAGCGCUAUGCUCCCGGGCCCGUGCCCGCCAGAGCACCCCUGUGAACCCUGAUGAAGAGAGGCUGUCUGAGUCCCACGAUAAUCGUUAAAACUUUCAACAAUGGAUCUCUUGGUUCCGGCAUCGAUGAAGAACGCAGCGAAAUGCGAUAAGUAAUGUGAAUUGCAGAAUUCCGUGAAUCAUCAAAUCUUUGAACGCACAUUGCGCCCCCUGGCAUUCCGGGGGGCAUGCCUGUCCGAGCGUCAUUUCUGCCCUCAAGCGCGGCUUGUGUGUUGGGCGUGGUCCCCCUGGCUUUGGCGGGGACCUGCCCGAAAGGCAGCGGCGACGUCCCGCCUAGUCCUCGAGCGUAUGGGGCUCUGUCACGCGCUCGGGAGGGACUGGUGGGCGUUGGUCACCUCUUAUUCUUUCUACGGUUGACCUCGGAUCAGGUAGGAGUUACCCGCUGAACUUAAGCAUAUCAAUAAGCGGAGGAAAUC